GGAUUGGAAAUGGGCGCAGCCUGAUCCAGCAAUGCCGCGUGAGUGAGGAAGGCCUUAGGGUUGUAAAGCUCUUUCGGCGGGGACGAUGAUGACGGUACCCGCAGAAGAAGCCCCGGCUAACUUCGUGCCAGCAGCCGCGGUAAUACGAAGGGGGCGAGCGUUGUUCGGAAUUACUGGGCGUAAAGGGCGCGUAGGCGGCCAUCUUUGUCAGGCGUGAAAGCCCCGGGCUCAACCUGGGAACUGCGCUUGGGACGGGGUGGCUUGAGUUCGGGAGAGGAGCGUGGAAUUCCCAGUGUAGAGGUGAAAUUCGUAGAUAUUGGGAAGAACACCGGUGGCGAAGGCGGCGCUCUGGACCGAGACUGACGCUGAGGCGCGAAAGCGUGGGGAGCAAACAGGAUUAGAUACCCUGGUAGUCCACGCUGUAAACGAUGUGUGCUAGACGUUGGGGAGCCUAGCUCUUCGGUGUCGCAGCUAACGCGGUAAGCACACCGCCUGGGGAGUACGGCCGCAAGGUUAAAACUCAAAAAAAUUGACGGA
rnacentral:rRNA from 1 species